rnacentral:lncRNA from 1 species
GUAUGUGGUUUUUCAAUUAAUUUUGCCGUAUACUACCUCAUUCGCUUAAAUUAUAGAUGUCACACUCAUGUAUAGAAAUUUAACCAUUUUAAAUAUAUCUUUUCACAGCGUACGGGAAAAUUAUAAAUCAACGAAUAGGCAUGAUGAGAUUCUUACUUACUCUGCAAGUCGUCUGCGUUCUGUUUGUGGCAGUGAAAGCAGACGGACACAGCGAGCUUAAAUUGUCGAGUACUUGUGGGAAGAAACGUACCAAGAACAGCAAGCCGCUCUCAACUCGAGUUUGAUUAAAGGAAUGGUAUCAACAAAGCUAAAUCCUGCAAGUUUUGGUGCAUAUAUGAAUCAAGAUGUUGUGUAUAUCUACAAUGCCCAAAGACUGAUUCAGAUUGCGUUACAAAGAUCAAAAGAUCCUCAGCACCGACAACUACUGCAGAAAAUGUCUGAAAGCUACAGAGAGUUAUACGAAUACCUGUUGGUC